CUUCUCUGCUCUGAGCCCACCCCCAGCGCUCCGGGGCACCCCGGCCAGGGCAGCGCGGCCCUUGGUUGAGGCUGGGGGCUCAGUAGUUGGGACUAUAGUGGACAUUUCUUCCACUGUGGUCUGGUCCCUCCCCGGCUGUCCCCCUUCCCUCUGCCAGUGUCAGAGGGUGGGGGUGAUGGUUUCCAAGUUACCAAAAACACUCACCCUUCUUCAUCAAACCCAAAAUGAAAUGACCCCUUCCCCUCUUAUUAACAACAUUGUCAGACAAUGUAGUCAUACCCGGGUUUGAAUCUUGGCUUCUCCACUGACUAGCUUGACUUUGAGCCCCUUGAGGGAAGGAGCUGGAUCUUUGUCAUCUCUGAAUACAUGGGCAGAGUAUGGAAAGCUUCCAGCCUGUGCAGGAAUGCUGUGCGAGGCACCGGAGGAAACUCCACUCUAGACCACCAGGACAUGUGUGUGGUACUCAGACUGACCCUCCCUCCUCCUGUGACCGUGACAGACUAAUGGAUCCCAGCAUUCUUCCAGUGCAAGCCUGCCAUCAUCUCACAGACCUCCAUACAGUCAUCCCUGAGGGAAUGGGGUUGUCACUUGAGUGGAAAGCCACUUACCAUGUUUGGCUUAGACUCAGAUCACUAGGU